AGGCUUGUUAAAAUGUAAACUGUCUAGCUAAUUUCAGAUUAGUUACUAAGUUUUAUGUCAGUUUAUAUUCAAUCUGUUUUUAAUCUGUGUUAGCUAUGUGCCUUGUGCUUAUAUGCCAGGUGCAUUGCUUGAGUCUGUUUUGAAUUCCCAGCUGUUAGGACAGCUGUGUAAUGCCAUGUGUCAUACUCACAUUGGCCUACUAUUGCAAUCCGUUAGAUUUGAAUCUACUGAUGUAAGAGAGAACAUGUAAUAGUCAUGAGGGAAUAUAAGCUCUGCUGUAAUGUUUAUGCAGAGUAAGAAUUCUGUUAGAACAAUCUAAGGCUCACUGCUCUCUCUCUCUCUCUCUCUCUCUCAGUACAUUUCUUGCUCCCUUUGCAAUCCAAAUAUUCAACAUGGUAUCAGGUGCGCAGGUUGGAUCUGGAUAGGGAGUUGAAGCUGUGUGAGCUGAGUCUGGAAAUCCAACGAGAAAUUCCUACUCUCAGCUCAUUGAUUCUGGUCUAAGAUGGCUGGGUCAGGAGGGAGUGAUCUUAGAGCUCCAAUAUUCAAUGGAGAGAACUAUGAGUUUUGGAAGAUUCGAAUGAGAACAAUUUUCAAAUCUCAUGGAAUCUGGAAUUUGGUUGAGAAAGGCCUUCAAGUUCCAGAUUCAAAAGCUGAUGAAGAAGGGUCAUCAGAUUCAGCAAUGGUGUCCUUGUUGAUGAAGGAUGCUAAGGCUCUUGGUAUUAUCCAAGGUGCUGUUUCAGAUGACAUCUUCCCCAGAAUCUCAAAUGAAGAAACCUCAAAAGGUGCUUGGGAUAUCUUGCAUCAAGAGUUUCAUGGUGAUAAGCAAGUCAGAUCCAUCAUGUUGCAGGGUCUGCGUCGAGAUUUUGAGUACACCAGGAUGAGGGAUGAUGAGAUCUUGUCUGGAUACAUCACUCGGCUACUUGAGCUUGUAAAUCAAAUGAAGGGAUAUGGGGAAGAUCUGACCAAAGGGAGGAUAGUUCAAAAACUGCUAAUAAGUCUAACCAAGGAGUUUGAUCCAGUCUGUUAUGUGAUUGAGCAAACUAGGGACAUUGAAACUAUUGAAGUGCAGGAGGUCAUUGCAGCAUUAAGAGGUUUUGCUCAGCGCCUUGACAGACAUGCAGAAAGCACCACUGAGAAAGCUUUCAGCAGCAUGAGCAUAAACUCAAAAGGAUCACAAUCAAGUUCUAGUUCUGGCUCAAAUAAAUCAAAGAAGAACUGGAAGUCCAAGGAUAAGAAAUGGGAUUCUAAACCUCAAAACAGUGCCAAUCAAGGGGGAAAACCAAGUCAAGGAGACAAGUCUGGAAAAUGCAAACAUUGUGAGAAGCUACACUAUGGUGAGUGUUGGUUUAAAGGAAAACCAAAGUGUCAUGGCUGCAAUCGUUUUGGUCAUUUUGUCAAGGACUGUGACCAAGCAAACAAGGCAGGGAAACUUGCUAACAUUGCAAAUCAGGUAACUGAACCUGCUAUUAUGUUCUAUGCAUGCCAUGCUGCAACAAUUGGAAAGAAUGUGAAUAUGUGGUAUGUUGAUAGUGCAUGCAGCAAUCACAUGACUUCUCAUGAGUCAUUACUUGUAAAUAUUGAUAAAAGUGUGAAGAGUAAAGUCAAAAUGGGGACUGGUGAUCUAGUGCAGUCAAUAGGCAAAGGGACUUUGGCUAUAGAAAUGAAGGGUGUGACUAGAUAUAUCAAAGAAGUCAUGAUUGUACCAGGGUUAGAUGAAAAUUUGCUAAGUGUAGGUCAAAUGAUAGAACAUGGGCAUUGGCUUGUAUUUGGUGACAAUGCAGUUGAUAUCUAUGGAGAUAGGCAGCUGGAAGAUUGCAUUGCAAGAGUGCCAAUGAAGGGAAACAGAUGUUUUCCUUUGAAUCUUGACUAUGUCAAUCCUCCUGUGGCAAACAGAGCAACAAUUGGAGAAACUUCCUGGCUGUGGCACAGAAGAUUUGGCCACCUAAACUAUAUUAGUUUGAAGUUGUUACAGGAGAAAGAUAUGGUUCAGGGACUGCCCAAUUUACAAGAACAUGAGAAGGUCUGCUCAGGUUGUGCAGUAAGCAAGAAUAACAGAUGCUCUUUUGAUAAGGAAGGAGCUUGGAGAGCCUCUCAACCACUAGAACUGAUUCACUCAGAUAUUUGUGGUCCAAUGCAGACCAUCACUCCUGGAGGAAACAGAUAUUUUCUCACCUUCAUUGAUGACCACACCAGAAUGUGUUGGGUAUUCUUCUUGCAGCAUAAGUCUCAAGCAUUCAACAUAUUCAAAAGGUUCAAAAGCAUGGUUGAACUACAAAGUGGUCAUCAAAUUAAGAAGCUAAGAAGUGAUAGAGGUGGAGAAUACACAUCUCUGGAUUUCUCAAAGUUCUGUGAAGAGAUGGGAUUAGAAAGGCAACUGACAGUAGGCUACUCUCCACAACAGAAUGGAGUUGCAGAGAGAAAGAAUCGUACUGUGAUGGAAAUGGCAAGAGCCAUGAUGCAUGAGAAGAAAAUCCCUUUGAAGUUUUGGGCAGAAGCUGUCAAUACAGCUGUAUAUCUGCAAAACAGAAGUCCUACAAGUGCACUGGACAAUUCCACUCCAUUUGAGAAGUUCAGUGGAAGAAAACCAGGUGUCAAGCAUUUGAGAAUAUUUGGUUCUCUAUGCUAUAUUCACAUCCCCACACAGAAAAGGCACAAGCUGGAAGACACAGGUGAAAAGGGAGUAUUUGUAGGAUAUGGUGUAUGUGAAAAGGGGUAUAGAGUGCUCAACUUGAGAACUCAAAAGAUUGAACUGUCUAGGAGUGUUAUUUUUGAUGAAGAAGCAAUGUGGAAUUCGCGCGAAACAAGUGAGGCAUUGCAAAUUCCUAUGUCUUGGGGAGAUGGAGCAAGUUCAACUGUGUCAGAUUUGGAUUCAGAACCAAAUCUGUUACAGCAACAGAUUGUGCAGUCUCCUAUGGAAACACAAACAAAUAGUGAUGUGCAUACUACUCAAGACUCUGCUCCAUUAGAACCUUAUGAUCACACCCCAAAGAAAUGGAAGAAUUUGAGUGAAGUGUAUGCUCAAUGCAAGAUGAGCAUCAUUGAACCUGAAAAUUUUGAAGAAGCAGUCAAAGAUGAAGCUUGGGGGAAGGCUAUGACUGAGGAGAUACUUAUGAUAGAGAAAAACUCCACUUGGGAAUUGGUUGACAGGCCAAGUAGUAAACCAAUUGUGGGAGUGAAGUGGAUAUUCAAAAUUAAGCUUAAUCUUGAUGGCUCCAUUCAAAAACAUAAAGCAAGACUUGUUGCCAAGGGAUUCACACAAAAACCAGGGAUUGAUUUCAAUGAAACCUUUGCUCCUGUGGCAAGGUUAGACACCAUUAGAACUCUCAUUGCUCUUGCUGCUCAGAAAGGCUGGAAACUAUGGCAAUUGGAUGUCAAGUCAGCCUUCUUAAAUGGUGUCCUUGAAGAAGAAGUUUAUGUUGAUCAACCGGAUGGUUUUGUGGUUAAAGGUGAUGAGGAUAAGGUGUAUAGGUUAAGAAAAGCUCUCUAUGGGUUGAAGCAGGCUCCAAGGGCCUGGUAUAGUGAAAUUGACACCUACUUGAGUAAGUGUGGUUUUCACAAAAGUCCAAGUGAAGCCACUCUCUAUGUGAGAACAAAGGAAGGUGUGGGAACACUAAUAGUGUCAAUCUAUGUAGAUGACAUAGUGUACACAGGAAGUAGUGAUGAAAUGAUGAAAGAAUUCAAAGCUGAAAUGAUGUGCAAGUAUGAGAUGUCUGACUUGGGUUUACUCCACCAUUUUCUUGGUAUCGGAGUAACACAAACUGAAGGGAGCAUCUUCAUUCAUCAAAAGAAGUAUGCUCUCACUCUCUUGGAUAAGUUUGGACUUAAAGACUGCAAGUCAGUAAGCACUCCAUUAGUGGCUACUGAUAAAUUGAAAAGGGAGGAUGGAAGUGAUGCUGCAGAUGAAAGUUUGUUCAGAAAAAUUGUUGGCAGCCUGCUGUACCUUACUGCAACCAGGCCAGAUAUCAUGUUCUCUGCCUGCUUGCUUGCAAGAUUCAUGCACAACCCUUCUAAGAUGCACUAUGGGGCAGCUAAAAGGGUUCUAAGGUACAUACAAGGCACAAUUGACUAUGGAAUUGAGUAUGUGACAGGAAAAUCUGCACUCUUAGUUGGUUAUUGUGACAGUGACUGGAGUGGAUCUGAGGAAGAUAUGAAAAGCACUUCUGGAUAUGCAUUUUCAUUUGGAAGUGGUGCUUUUUCAUGGGCAUCAGUCAAACAACACAGUGUGGCUCUCUCUACUGCAGAGGCAGAGUAUGUGAGUGCAGCAGAAGCUACAUCACAAGCCAUUUGGCUCAGGUUUGUUCUUGAAGAUUUUGGGGAAGAACAGACGACUGCAACAACUGUGUUUUGUGACAACACUUCAGCCAUAGCAAUGGCUAAAAAUCCAGUUUUUCAUCAACGAAGCAAGCAUAUUAAAAGGAAGUUCCAUUUUAUUAGAGAUGCAAUACAAGAAGAAGUGAUUGAACUGCUCUACUGCAAGGGAGAAGAGCAGAUUGCUGAUAUCUUCACCAAAGCUCUUCCCAAAGACAGGUUUGACUAUUUGAGGAGAAUGCUUGGAGUGAAAUCAGCUAGCACUUUAGAAGGGAGUGUUAAAAUGUAAACUGUCUAGCUAAUUUCAGAUUAGUUACUAAGUUUUAUGUCAGUUUAUAUUCAAUCUGUUUUUAAUCUGUGUUAGCUAUGUGCCUUGUGCUUAUAUGCCAGGUGCAUUGCUUGAGUCUGUUUUGAAUUCCCAGCUGUUAGGACAGCUGUGUAAUGCCAUGUGUCAUACUCACAUUGGCCUACUAUUGCAAUCCGUUAGAUUUGAAUCUACUGAUGUAAGAGAGAACAUGUAAUAGUCAUGAGGGAAUAUAAGCUCUGCUGUAAUGUUUAUGCAGAGUAAGAAUUCUGUUAGAACAAUCUAAGGCUCACUGCUCUCUCUCUCUCUCUCUCUCUCUCAGUACAUUUCUUGCUCCCUUUGCAAUCCAAAUAUUCAACAAGGCUUGUACUGUAGUUGGACAACCAAAGAAAUAUUGACGAAGUGACAUGGUUAUCAGAGAGAUAAACAUUUUCAAGAGAUGUAGAACAAUUUGUUUUGUAAAGAAUAGUGGAAAGAAUUGUUGUAGGAAGAGGAGGAAGACUACAGUUCUCCAAGGUCAAGUCUACUAAUUUAGGGAGCUUAUUAAGUACUGCUUCUGGCCAAUCGAAAACAGUACUGAGAUUGGCUCCGCUUAGGUCCAAAUACGUUAAAGAAGAAAGAGCAGGGAGCCAAUUGAGAUUUUCUGCUUGAAGCUGAUUAUGGCCGAGGUAGAGAUGUUGCAAGUGCGUGAGGUUUCCAAACGAACUUGGAAUUUGACCAACCAAAUUACAGUUAUAGAGACUGAGGUAUCUUAGAUUGGUCAGAGAACCAAUGAAAUCUGGAAUUUGGCUCCCAUUGAAAUCAAUAAAUGUAAGGUCCAAAUAUUGUAAAUGCUGCAACUCAAUCAGUUUAUGACUAAUAAUCUUACCUUAAAAAAAAAAUGAAAUUGGCCAGUUUGGUUGAUCGAAGUCAAGUUGAAUCACAUGGCCAGUUUGGUUGCUACAAUAGACUCCUUCCCAUCUGCAACAAUCUUGUUUUUGGGCUUCUGAACCCCAAGAAGAGAGAUGAUUGAAGUGAUCCACCAGGCCACGUUUGAAUGCAAGUAGUGCUUGCCUUUCCCUCUCUAUGCACCUCACUGUCACUUUAGCAUCUCUGAGGCUGUGGCUGUGGUUGUAGCUGUGGCCAACUUCUCCUCCUUUUACGUUUUGUAGGAAAAGGAUCGAUAAUGCAAGAAAGAGUUUCAAGCACCUUCCGUCGCCCUUCAUGUUAAUUGAUCAAAAGCACAUGCACAUGCAAAAACACUGCAAGUAUAUAUUGAUAUGUGGUUGUCUC
rnacentral:lncRNA from 1 species